UUCAAGAUGCAACCCGCUUUUAGCCGUUUAAUAAUCCAGCUAACUAAGGAUUAACUAUUGGAUAAGAUGUAUGGAUACUCUUUUACCCCUUUUUACAAUUGUUUUGAUGGAUUUUGUUGUUUUCCCUCUUGCGCUUCUUUCUCUCUUCAAUCUUUGGAUCUGCUGAUUUUCAUUUGGUUUUUUUCCACUUAUCGUAUGUAUUCAGCUAUCCAUGAUAGCCAUAUUCAGGAUCUUUUUUUUCUGAAAAAAAAACAAACUAGAUUCAUGUAUAUUUUAAUCAAAGUGAUCGUCUGUGUUGAUUGUGAACCACAUCUUUAACCAUAUUUAACCAUUUACACCAAGUUCAACCUUGAAGCUGGAGUUAACUUAAGUGAAUUCAAAGCCAUAUCUUGUUCUUCUUCCGUUUCCCUUUCCUGUUGGUUAUUUAUUCACAUUACCCUGAAUUGAUCCUAACAAACCAGAGCCAGGAGAUAAUGAUGCUGAUUCCUAUUUUGGUUUUCACCAGAUAAAACAAACUUACCAAGCCCAAUAACAACAGUUGAUCAACAGUCUGUUUCCUAUGAAUUUACAGAUAAAAACAACAGUUCACUUUCCAUUGGUGUUUAUAUUAUAAUACUUGGUGGGCAAGAGUUGAUUGUUUUCAAAUGUCGUCAUCAACCUCAUCAUCCUUUUUUUUGCCAUGGUAUCAACAUUUUCAUCAAUAACACUUAUCUGUUUCAACAUGAUCAUUUUGCUGUUGCUAUCAUCAUCUCCAUUGAAAGUCAGGUCCAUAGACUUGGCAGCAAUCUAAAGAGAGGCUGAAAUUGAAUAGACAGAGAAACACACAGAGACAGAGGGAGAGAGUCAACAGCUUAACAAUCAUAUUGAUUGUUCUAGCAAUUAACAUCAAGUAAAUAAAGUGCAGUUAAAACGGAAACCAACCAAAUAAAGAGUCAAUUUGAUCACCAUCAGCAUAUAAUAACACACAUACAAACACACACACAUAUAUAUAAAUGUCCUUACGACCUUUUGAUGAGACAAGACUUGGCAGGAGAAAAAAAAAGUUGCAGCAAAUUAAUUAAAAUGUAACAUUUGUCAACUAUUAGAUUAGCUUGGAAUUAUUCAACAAAGUUGUCGCCAUUGACUUUUCCUGUGACACUCUUUUGGACCAUAAUUGUCGGAAUAGGAUCAAUUAAAUGCAGCCAUUUGAAUAAUGCUCAGCAAUUGAAAGUGCCUUCAAUUAUUUAUCAUGGAUUCGCAGUUUUUUCAUUCAAAGCCACCUUCGGUCAUGAAAGUGUUUUAAAAAAAGAAUUUAAAUUUUGCAGAUCGAUUCUUUUCCACUGGUUCAGUUUGCGGUCCAAUGAUCAUUUCAGAGGCAAAAAUGGACCAUUUCAUCGAUACUUCAACACCUUGAAUAAGUUCAACAUUUCAUCAAUUUGUUUACUUUAAAUAAAGUAAUCAUGAAAUGAUCAAAACUAGAAAAAAUGAGUUUUUCAGAUUCUCUAAACUCUUUUUGAAUUGGACAAAAAGAGGUUUAAAUGUAAAAAUGAAUCUUUAGGUAAUUAUUGAUUCCUAAGGAUUGAUUAAUAAUUGAAUUAAAACUCAUUUUUCUAGUGAUGAUUGAAGUGAACUGGAAACAUUACAAAGUAAACAAAAGUUAGAUGAAAAUGUGAAACGAAACUUUGCUUUUUCAAAGCUUACUUCCCUUUGAAUAAGCUUUGCUUUUUAAUUCACUGUGCUUACUGGACAGGGUCAGAUGAUAAUGUAGAUUGUGGGUGUGAAGGAAAAGUUAAAGAGUUGAUGAUGAAUGGGAGGAGACAAGGUGGAGUGAAGGAGGUAUUUACAGCUGAAUAAGGUCAAACCUUAUUGUGAAUACAGAAUAGGUGAAUGGAAAUGGUUUGCUUUGUUCAUCUUCACCUUGCUUUUUCAAGACAAAAAUUAUAUUUUCUACCUGUUGACAGGUUAUUAGAUUGCUCGUUGGACUAUGUAUUGAUAGAUAUUAUUAUUCCUCUUGUUUUACAUUUUACCUUUUUUUCCUCAUGAUGAUGAUGAUGAUCGUCUUCAAGGUAAAAUGGUUAUGAUAACAUGAUAGGAGUAAAAAAUUGUUCAACUCACCAUAUUGCACAGUGCCAUUGAACACUGUAAUUAGAGUGAAUGAUAAGUGACUCUCAAGUGAGAGUUGCUUGUUAUUUGUGUGUGUGUGUUGUGCCUUUACUAGUGACUAUUGGAUUGUAUCGGGUUGGCAAUUUUUCUGGUCACCAAUUUCAUGGUUCACAUGAUGAUGGUGAACACAUUCAGAAUAGUCAAGCCAUUGAUAAUAAUAAUAGUCAUAAUAAUAAUGAAAUCAAUGAAAGAAACCAGAAACAAGUAGCAACAGGUUAAACUUACAAAGAAGUAUUAAUGUGAUUCUCUCUCCUCUCUCUCUUUUUUUUUCAGUCCGUUUUGCACAUUACCAAGUUGUGCGUUGCUUUUGUUGUCUCCUUUUAUUUUUCAAACUCGUUUCAUUUCUUCUUUCAAAGAUCAAGUCAUUGAACAAGUUUAGCAUUUUGGGUACACAUUGGCUGUCUUCAAUCUGUCGAUAAUCAGUUGCCCAUAAAACAAUUUACUGUAAUUAUCGGCAAUCCAACAAUUCUGAUGCACACUUUUGACCAGAAAAGUUUUACUCAAAUGAUUUCAACCUUCUUCUUCAUGCAAACAGUUCCGAGGCGAUACAUUGCCCAAUUUAGGCUCAUUUGGAUGUCCUGUCAUGUGCAAACUUAAAAUUGUCGCUCAUUCAAAACUACUCAACUUUUGAGCCAAAAAUUUACUCAAAAAUUUACACAAAAUUUGCUCGAUAAAUAUUGAAAUUUUCAAACAAA